UCGGCGGCUGCUUGUGGACAUCCACGCUUGGUGGUGAAAGCAGAGGAUUGUUAAUGAGUGGUUAAUCCCUUAAUUAAGGGAGAAACGGGAUUCCCACUUAGAUGGGAAUGCAACUUUUCAACAGAGUUGGCGCAGUAAGGUUGGUGAGAAGAAACAGACCUCAAUUCCUAAGAAGAGGAUUUCCCUGGAAAUCUGAAAGAAAAGGAACAAAAAGGUGUAUCUUUAAACAAACAAACGCCCAAGAAAUUUCUGGGGCAAUUGGAUGGGUACUGGAGGACUUGGCUCCAGAGCUGAACCGAGCUACCUGGGUGCACGUGCUGAAACGGUCUUGCCAUGUGCAAUGGGGACCCUGCAGCAAAGAGUUGCUGUGGAGAAAGUGCAGUUGUUUUGGUAGAUGGAGGUUUAAAGUGCAUUGUUGACUGAUUUCUUGUAAAUGAAGAUUUAAAGUGCAUUGGUGACCGAUUUCUUGUUUUCAGAUAAUGCUUUGGUUGAGUUAAUCUCAUGUUGAACGGCAAGUCUGAUGGUUGUUUGAAGUCUGUCUUUGGAACGGAGGGAAUUGUCUAAAAGUGUCAUAUUUAAUACUUGAAAAAGGCACUGAAAUUUGUUUACCAGAGUUAUGUAACUAGCGGGGAGCUCACGUCAUUUACAAAAUAUUCUCGUUGACUCUGGUAGCUGAUCAGUAGAGCUGGCUGUAUUGCUCGAGGAGGCCUGUCUGAUACUCUGGAGCAGAGAGUUCCUCAAAGAGGUUUUGCCCCAUUUUUAUUCACCCUUUUUUUUUUUUUCCCCAAUCAAAUUUACGCGUGCUGCUUUGUUGGAGAUACUGUAGCUCAGGGGAACUUUGGUCUUGCAGCCAAAGCACUAGAGGCUUAGAAAAAAAAUCGCUGUGAAUAAUCAUCCCUUCAGAAAUAUCACCAUUGUAAGAGGACUGCAGACUCCAGCAGUGCUGGGGUGAUAGAAUGAGCUCCUAAGUGCACAGUUAUUUUCCUGCACUGGAAAGAGCAGCAAUCUUGUGCUUUCCAGAGCAUGGAUGGUUUUGACAAGAGGCUACUUCUCCCCCACUUUACUUUCUUUGCACGUGUUCAAAACUCCAUGCUAAUAUCUUUUCAGUGUAGAUUUUCUGUAUCUGCUUUCCAACAGCCCCGGAUGUUUUAGAAGCUGCCUUCUUGGCACUGGAUAAGGCAAUUUAAUUGAAAUAUUAAGGUGCAGGCUGUGUGCAGUUCGUACAUUGACCUUUCUGGAGGGAGAGAUUUAGAGGGUGGUUUCUAUUUUAAAUGAACCGAUUCUACAUGGCUGCUUUCUGAGUAAGUCAAAUGGUGACAUUAGUAGGAAAUUAUCUUCUAAAAUAACCUGCUGGUUAAGCAGCGUGAAGAUUAUAUUGUGUAUUUCGAUAUUUGAAGCCAUUGUCCACCUUGAGCAGGUUGCUCCAGCUCUGGUCGGUGGCACAGGAGGGAGGACUGGAGGGCUCUGGCCACUCGUCGUGCAGAGGCCGUGGUGACAGAGGAGGUGGUAGUGAACGAUGUGCGGGAUGACCUUGGGGAAAAAAAUGGAGGCAGAUCAGACUUGAGAAAAUGUACCAAGGUCCUUGGUUAUGUCACUGGGAGCUCAGAAAGGGGGAGAUUGGUGUGGCUGCACCGAAGCAGUGACUGGUCAGUGGGCUCUGUUCUUACGAGUCCCAGAAUGGAUAAUAGGUGAAAGAAUGUGUAAACUAAGCCUAUUUUCUUUGCUAGGCAAAUGGUAUUCCAGAACUUCUUUUAAAAAUGAAUUUACUUGAAUAUUUACUUUGAAAACUAAAGUUAUAUUGUGAAAAAGGGGGGGAAAAGAAUUAUUUCCUUUAAAUAUCAAACACAGGCAACUUUGGAGGGCGUUCUCAAUGACUGCUAACAGAAGGCUGCCGUGACUGUUGCGUUAGAAGUGCCAGGUUCUGCCUAUUUAACGCUUGCUUUCUGUCUUGAGACUUCACUUGCAAUGCUUUAACUUGCAUUGUUCAGCCAUGUAGCGGUUCCUUACGUAGCCACAAGCUAUUCUGGAGGAUAUUUAAACUCACACAGACAAAACCAAACAGACUUUUCACAGGAGAAACACAAAGUUAAGGAGCUGGUAGAUACUUCCUUCUCGAAUUGCUUGAAAAUAAUAGCUGAGGCAUGUGAGGUGGUAGAUCUGGAAGGGAUGUUGCCUCCCGGCCCUUGCCCAAAGCCCUUCCAUGCCCCAAGAGCUCACUAUGGCUUUGGGGUUUAACGAGUGCCUGGGUUGUGAUGGCGCCUUGGCAGCUGAGAACCGAGUGGCAGAGCUCCCUGGGUGCCUCUGUUGGAAAUAGUGAAGAAGCGAGCUCUGGAGAUCUUUCCAACCCUUAUGAUUCUUCUCCGAGACAGAGCAUGCGGUGUCUGUCCUGAGAUUUUUAUCUGAGAUACAGAAUCACACAGAAUU